rnacentral:rRNA from 1 species
UACGAAGGGGGCUAGCGUUUGCUCGGAAUCACUGGGCGUAAAGGGCGCGUAGGCGGCCAUGCGUGUCUUCCGUGAAAUCCCUCGGCUUUAACUGAGGACGUGCGGAAGAAACUGCAAGGCUCGAGUCCGGGAGAGGGGGUGGAAUUCCCAGUGUAGCGGUGAAAUGCGCAGAUAUCAGGAGGAACACCAAUGGCGAAGGCAGCUCGCUGGGACGUGACUGACGCUGAGACGCGAAAGCGUGGGGAGCAAACAGG